rnacentral:rRNA from 1 species
GAUGAACGCUGGCGGCGUGCCUAAUACAUGCAAGUCGAGCGAACAGACGAGGAGCUUGCUCCUCUGACGUUAGCGGCGGACGGGUGAGUAACACGUGGAUAACCUACCUAUAAGACUGGGAUAACUUCGGGAAACCGGAGCUAAUACCGGAUAAUAUAUUGAACCGCAUGGUUCAAUAGUGAAAGACGGUUUUGCUGUCACUUAUAGAUGGAUCCGCGCUGCAUUAGCUAGUUGGUAAGGUAACGGCUUACCAAGGCGACGAUGCAUAGCCGACCUGAGAGGGUGAUCGGCCACACUGGAACUGAGACACGGUCCAGACUCCUACGGGAGGCAGCAGUAGGGAAUCUUCCGCAAUGGGCGAAAGCCUGACGGAGCAACGCCGCGUGAGUGAUGAAGGUCUUCGGAUCGUAAAACUCUGUUAUUAGGGAAGAACAAAUGUGUAAGUAACUAUGCACAUCUUGACGGUACCUAAUCAGAAAGCCACGGCUAACUACGUG